AUUGAACGCUGGCGGCAUGCCUUACACAUGCAAGUCGAACGGUAGAGUAGCAAUACUCGAGAGUGGCGAACGGGUGAGUAACAUAUCGGAACUUGCCAAAUCGUGGGGGGAUAACGUAGAGAAAUUUACGCUAAUACCGCAUACGAUCUAAGGAUGAAAGCGGGGGAUCGCAAGACCUCGCGCGAUUGGAGCGGCUGAUAUCAGAUUAGGUUGUUGGUGAGGUAAAAGCUCACCAAGCCGACGAUCUGUAGCUGGUUUGAGAGAACGACCAGCCACACUGGGACUGAGACACGGCCCAGACUCCUACGGGAGGCAGCAGUGGGGAAUUUUGGACAAUGGACGCAAGUCUGAUCCAGCCAUUCCGCGUGCAGGAUGAAGGCCCUCGGGUGUAAACUGCUUUGUACGGAACGAAAGGUUUCUAUUAAUACUAGGAGCUCAUGACGGUACCGUAAGAA
rnacentral:rRNA from 1 species